UAACAUGAGAUAAUCCCGAUAAUCUUCUUGUCUCUUCUCCUCUCACUUCAGCUGCCGGUUAUCACUCAUGGUCUCGAUAUAUGAGAAUGGCGCUUCUAAGCAAAAAUAAGCUAGGAUUUGUGGCGUGGGCUCCUGUCACGUGGAAUUGGGCACAGUACGUUCCUCCGGCAACUCGCAACCAAGCUGAGCCUACUGCUUCUGGUCAAAUUCCAAUUCCCAAAUCGGCUUCUCAUGGUAUGGUUCCAGCCUCUAGACCCUCAUCUUCUGACAUUGCACAAUCAGGUGCUUCUACCUCUCGCCAGCCAUCUCCAAGUAAUCAUUAGUGUGCCAUAAUUCCUUCUCAUGUCUCUAAUCAUACCUGGGUUGUAGAUACAAGGGCUACCACAGAUGUUGCCUGUUAGUUUCUUUGCUUACUCAUGCUUAAACUGUUCAGAAUAUGAUAGUUAGUGUAUCUACCAAAUGGGAAUUGUGUUUAUGUUUUGCAUAUUGGAUCUGUAGUUCUCAGUCCUAUGAUCACUUUGACCAAUGUUAUGGCCAUACCACCUUGACCAAUGUUAUGGCCAUACCUAGUUUUCAGUUCAAUCUCCUUCUGUGAGUCAAUUGACCAAAACUAGAGCUUACAGAUGACUGGUAUAGCUAAUCAACUUCAGGACCUCUACUGCUUCACUCAAAUGAUAUGCUUCAACUCUAGCACAUGACCGUUCUAAACUUGGUCCUAGAGCCCAAACCUGUGUUUUAUUGGUCUAUCCAACUCAUAAAAAGGGAUAUAGGCUUUAUAAUCUGGAUUCUCAUGUGAUUAUUGACUCACGAGAUAUGGUAUUCCAUGGGCAGAUAUUUCCUUUUGUCGACUUAUCCCUCAGCCCUGAGGCUUAUCGUUUUAUAUUCCCUUUAAUUGAUCCCACUCCUAUGGCCAUUACUGCAUCUCCAAUUCCCCCUCCUCUUGAUUCUAAUUCAUCUUCCUUAUCUCAAACUCAACCAGAUCCUAUCACUGAGGAAUCUUCUCAUAAUCCCACCAAUUAUCCUCCUAAACGCCC
rnacentral:lncRNA from 1 species